rnacentral:tRNA from 1 species
GGAGAGGUGCCGGAGCUCGGUUUAACGGAACGGUUUCGAAAACCGUGGCCCUUUAUGGGUCUCGUGGGUUCAAAUCCCACCCUCUCCG